AUAUUAAGGGUUUUAUGCUUUGCAAAUAUUUCGCAUAAUUCAGUUGUACUGAGCUAAUAACCAGAGAGAGUAAUAGAGUAGACGUGUCUGUCUUUCUUAAACUCUCUAAGCCUUUGGCUAAAAAGGACGGUAAAACAAUUCAAGAAUCUCAUGAGUACCUCCAGGAUGACUGUGUAGAGAUGUUGAACUGUUUGUCUGCAUAUGGAGAAACAGAGAACAAUUUUCAGAGACGUAUAUACAGGAUGAUAAAAAAGGGGAAAAGUAAGCAAAGGAAGAAAGCAAGUGCCAAUGACCCUUGACUGCCAGGGAGAGGUGCAGUUGGCUAAUCCUCACAUUCCUGAACCACAAAGCACAACACUCACACGUGGCAAUACAGAAAGAAAGGAGGCCGCUGACGUACAAAAGCAGUGCGCAGAGGAGAGGCAAGGGCAUCAGAGAACUUCGGAACAGAAUGAAAAGGAUUGAAGGAGAGUGCAGGCUUAUCGAUCGCCUUGCUUGAUUUACCAUUUCUAAUCUAAGUAAUAGGAGUAACAAUAGUCAUUUCCAGUUUUCCAGAACUGAACUGAAUUUGUAUUGCUGAAUACUUUGUCAUUUUACAUUCAGUACUCAAUAUAGUAUUACAAUUUCCAGAAUCA